AGCGAACGCUGGCGGCAGGCUUAACACAUGCAAGUCGAGCGGGCAUCCUUGUGGUGUCAGCGGCAGACGGGUGAGUAACGCGUGGGAACGUGCCCUUCGGUUCGGAAUAACUCAGGGAAACUUGAGCUAAUACCGGAUACGUGCGAGAGCAGAAAGGUUUAUCUGCCGAAGGAUCGGCCCGCGUCUGAUUAGCUAGUUGGUGAGGUUAUGGCUCACCAAGGCGACGAUCAGUAGCUGGUCUGAGAGGAUGAUCAGCCACACUGGGACUGAGACACGGCCCAGACUCCUACGGGAGGCAGCAGAGGGGAAUAUUGGACAAUGGGGGCAACCCUGAUCCAGCCAUGCCGCGUGAGUGAUGACGGCCUUAGGGUUGUAAAGCUCUUUUCUCCGGGACGAUAAUGACGGUACCGGAGGAAUAAGCCCCGGCUAACUUCGUG
rnacentral:rRNA from 1 species